CGCGGUAAUUCCAGCUCCAAUAGCGUAUAUUAAAGUUGUUGUGGUUAAAAAGCUCGUAGUUGAACCUUGGGCCUGGCUGGCCGGUCCCCCUCACCGGGUGCACUGAUCCAGCCGGGCCUUUCCCUCUGUGGAACCCCAUGGCCUUCACUGGCUGUGGCGGGGAAACAGGACUUUUACUUUAAAAAAAUUAGAGUGCUCCGGGCAGGCCUAUGCUCGAAUACAUUAGCAUGGAAUAAUAGAAUAGGACGUGUGGUUCUAUUUUGUUGGUUUCUAGGACCGCCGUAAUGAUUAAUAGGGACAGUCGGGGGCAUCAGUAUUCAAUUGUCAGAGGUGAAAUUCUUGGAUCUAUUGAAGACUAACUACUGCGAAAGCAUUUGCCAAGGAUGUUUUCAUUGAUA
rnacentral:rRNA from 1 species